rnacentral:lncRNA from 1 species
UCCAAACACCUGGGUCACAGACCCACACACCCAGGCCUCCCAGAGCUCACCACCCCUGCCAGCCAGUGAAGCCCUCAGUGGCUCCUUUUCACCCAUCUUCCCCAGGUUCCUGUUGACAGCCGUCGCCCUGCUCUCCAGCUACUCCAUCCACCUGCUACUCAAGUCCUCAGGGAUCGUGGGUGAGCCCCCAACCCAGCCUGGAGCAGGGGAGGGCUGGGCUGGGGAGAGCACUCCUGACUAUUUUGACUCCUGUCCCCACAGGUAUCCGUGCCUAUGAGCAGCUAGGCUACCGUGCCUUUGGGACCCCAGGAAAGCUGGCAGCGGCCCUGGCCAUCACACUGCAGAAUAUUGGAGGUGAGCCUGGCAGGCAGACCCAGACAGGUGGUGGGCAGGUGGGCGGGCUGAAGACUGGCUGGUUUGGCUGACCCCAGCACCUGCCCGCCUCUCUCCCCCCAGCCAUGUCCAGCUACCUGUACAUCAUCAAGUCCGAGCUGCCCCUUGUCAUACAGACCUUCCUGAACCUGGAGGAGCAAACUUCGUGAGCCCCAGGGUGGGGCGGGGCUGGGUGAGGGUAGGAGGGAGGCCUUGGUCUACCCCUCCAUAUGCACCACUGGCCCUGGGAACCCAGGCUGGGCUAGUGGGAGAGAUGAGACAGUGCCUGCAAGUGACUGGUGGAGGGGCAGAGAGCUGCCAACAGAGCUAACAUUCAGUCUACACUCCUUUAGCACCUAGGGGAACCCCCUAGGAGGGCCAGAUGAGGUGAGAGGUGGGGUGAGGCUGAGGAACCUGGGCCCCACCUGGGCCAGGACACAGCCUAUGAGAAAAGGAGAACCUGAGAGCUUCGGGCUUAGCUCUAAGCACCUGCUAUUCCUGACCAGGGCUUGGGCUUUAGCGCCUGCCACCCCCUCCCCCCUCCCCGCCUUCCCCCCCCUCUCCCCCCCCCUCCCCCCCCCCCCCCCCCCGCCCAACCAAGAAAUUAAGCCCGUGGUGUCCCAGUUGCUCUCAUCAGUUUAGCCAGCACUGAUGGAAUCAACCAUGUUUUGUGGGUGGGGACAGAGAAGACAGCCAUGCCCUGCCCUUGGCCACGCAGCCCAGGCAAGCAGAGGGGGUUUGAAGUUGAGAGCAGCUCUGGGAGGAGGAAAACAGCCAGGAUUCUUCCCCCUGAGUCCUGGGUGCCCUUCCCAAGGAGUUGGCCUUUGGGCUUCCCUGGGAAGGAGGGUCUCCUUCCUUAUCCUUUGAGUUCUCUGCGCCAUUGGUGGUGGGGGGUGCAGGAUGGUGCAGGAUGCAGAUGCCAGGAGGGACCACAAGGGGUACAGGAUGUUGGAAAGUCCCUGACACCCCCAUGGAAAAUGCUCCACCUCCCCAGAGCCAGGGUCUUUCAUCCCACCCACCUCCCUGGGCCCCUUGGGGCCACCCCCUGGGGAAGCUGGACCCAGACCUGUGUGUCUUGAGAAAAACAGCAGCAGUGACUAUAGCCCUAAUGGCUACCAAGCAGGAGCUGAGCUCCUUAGUUCUCCCCUCGCCUAGGCCAGUGCUGAGAGAAUGUCCAUUUUGCAGACUCCGAGCUAUGAACAAGUAUUUUUUAGGUGGCCCCGAUUAGGUAUGGAGGCAGGCGGCCUCACCCAAGGCUGAGUGGACUCUGAUGUUGGCUCCCCACUCCUAUUCCUGCAGGGACUGGUACAUGAAUGGGAACUACCUGGUGAUCCUUGUUUCUGUCAUCGUCAUUC